AUUGAACGCUGGCGGCAGGCCUAACACAUGCAAGUCGAACGGUAACAGGAAGCAGCUUGCUGCUUCGCUGACGAGUGGCGGACGGGUGAGUCAUGUCUGGGAAGCUGCCUGAUGGAGGGGGAUAACUACUGGAAACGGUAGCUAAUACCGCAUAAUGUCGCAAGACCAAAGAGGGGGACCUUCGGGCCUCUUGCCAUCGGCUGUGCCCAGAUGGGAUUAGCUUGUUGGUGGGGUAACGGCUCACCAAGGCGACGAUCCCUAGCUGGUCUGAGAGGAUGACCAGCCACACUGGAACUGAGACACGGUCCAGACUCCUACGGGAGGCAGCAGUGGGGAAUAUUGCACAAUGGGCGCAAGCCUGAUGCAGCCAUGCCGCGUGUAUGAAGAAGGCCUUCGGGUUGUAAAGUACUUUCAGCGGGGAGGAAGGGAGUAAAGUUAAUACCUUUGCUCAUUGACGUUACCCGCAGAAGAAGCACCGGCUAACUCCGUG
rnacentral:rRNA from 1 species